UCCGAUGUGGUGUAGUGGUUAACAUUUGACGUUUUCACUUGUGAAAUUCCGUCGCGCCCGGGGUUCGAUUCCCCGCUUCGGAG